UUAGGUGCUGGUGUUCAUCAGACGGGGUUAGGUGCUGGUGUUCAUCAGACGGGGUUAGGUGCUGGUGUUCAUCAGACGGGGUUAGGUGCUGGUGUUCAUCAGACGGGGUUAGGUGCUGGUGUUCAUCAGACGGGGUUAGGUGCUGGUGUUCAUCAGACGGGGUUAGGUGCUGGUGUUCAUCAGACGGGGUUAGGUGCUGGUGUUCAUCAGACGGGGUUAGGUGCUGGUGUUCAUCAGACGGGGUUAGGUGCUGGUGUUCAUCAGACGGGGUUAGGUGCUGGUGUUCAUCAGACGGGGUUAGGUGCUGGUGUUCAUCAGACGGGGUUAGGUGCUGGUGUUCAUCAGACGGGGUUAGGUGCUGGUGUUCAUCAGACGGGGUUAGGUGCUGGUGUUCAUCAGACGGGGUUAGGUGCUGGUGUUCAUCAGACGGGGUUAGGUGCUGGUGUUCAUCAGACGGGGUUAGGUGCUGGUGUUCAUCAGACGGGGUUAGGUGCUGGUGUUCAUCAGACGGGGUUAGGUGCUGGUGUUCAUCAGACGGGGUUAGGUGCUGGUGUUCAUCAGACGGGGUUAGGUGCUGGUGUUCAUCAGACGGGGUUAGGUGCUGGUGUUCAUCAGACGGGGUUAGGUGCUGGUGUUCAUCAGACGGGGUUAGGUGCUGGUGUUCAUCAGACGGGGUUAGGUGCUGGUGUUCAUCAGACGGGGUUAGGUGCUGGUGUUCAUCAGACGGGGGUGCAGGCUUCACAGCUGCUGUCUUCAACAUGGUGUCCUCAGUGACAUCUGCUGGUGAUCUGUCACCUAGUCUGAACAUGGUGCCUUGCAAAAUCAGCCUUUAGUAGGACUAUGGUAGUGAUUAGGAAAGGGUGUGUUCGAUAUGUAAAAAUAUAUAAAUAUAUUAAGGGAAAAAAAUGAUGUGCAUGAAAUCUGGAUUUGAUCUAUUUUUUUUUUGUUCAGAGUCAGUGUAGCGUUGAGUAACAAAUGUAGGUGAGUCAGUAAGGAAACAUCACAGCAGUCAAUAGACUUACUGACUUACAGUAAGUACAGGGACAUUCCCCCGAGGCAAGUAUGGUGAAGUGCCUUGCCUAAGGACACAACACCAUUUGGCACGGCCUGGCAACCUUCAGAUUACUAGCCCGAUUCCCUAACCGCUCAGCCACCUGACUCCCCCUUGACUGGCUCCCCCUUGUUCUAGACCAGUGAUUCCCAACAUGUGGUCCGCUAGGUUAAUACAGGUGGGCCGCCAAACCAAUGAAAACAACUAAAGUAUGACUAAAUAUCAAAAUACUUAUAUAUAUAUAUACUGUUGGUAAAUGAUUAUUUAAAUUUGUACUAAUUUAAAAAUGAAAUUUUGCCGUUAAUUCAUUAUGACCAAAACGUCAAUAGUUACGCGUGCAUGCGGCCACUUCUAUCCCCUAUGCACUCGUCACUUCUGCAUAUUGCAAAAUCCAGGUCAAAAUGUUCCGGUAGCGAGCCUUUACAGUAUUCGGGUUGCCUUCCCAAAAUGACAAUCAACAAUGUAAUUUUGAGCAGUAACGUUAGCUAGGCUAGCUAGCUUACAAUUUUUUGCUACAUUAUAAUGUACUCAAUUGUCUGGCAGCUUGCUUGCUAGUGGUUAAUGUUAACUCUGUACAUAAAUAAUUGGUCUGCCAUAUUUGUUCCCUAUGGAUAAUGUAACACAUUAGGAGUGGUGUUGUUAAACGUGUGAUAAACGAGAAUUAAGUGGGGAUGUGUUGGGAAGCAUUUGAGCUAUGCAAGAAGUGAGCCGCAAAGUGGAAAAGGUCGGGAAUGGCUGGUCUAGACUGCUAUACACAAAGUAGAGUAGCAUUAACUAAGGCAGAGACGCAUUGCAUUGAACUUUUCAACAUAAUUUGCAAAGUGUAUCAUCAAUAUACUGUUUAAACUGACUAACGCAUGACUAAUCUUUAAUAUUUUGUAUCUUUUGUACAGAAGACUCAAGGUCUUUACAUUGUUUUCUACAUGAGAUUAACUUUAGUACCUUAAGUAGCGUUUACAAGCUUGUUCCUAGCUGUUCCCGCUAGCUCCUGUUCCCGCUAGCUCCUGUUCCCGCUAGCUCCUGUUCCCGCUAGCUCCUGUUCCCGCUAGCUCCUGUUCCCGCUAGCGUCACUGUGUCCAAUCCCGACCGGUUUUUAGCUAACAUUCUGAUAAAAUGCCACUUCAAAUAUUGAUAAAAUAAUCGUAUCACGUUUUCAGCUGAUUUACUGAUUUCACGUUAAGCUUUAACUUCUUACCUUUCGAGCUAAAUAUUGUUUAAAAAUUUAGAGUUAGCUUAGCCUUUACUAGAGCCGGUCAAAAGACGCUGGCGCCGGUAAAUUAGCCGUGCGCUACCCUUGUCCAAACCCGACCGCACUUCUAAACACUGGCCGCUGCUGUUUUUCUGGGGAUAUUAACUUGAUCCAGGGUCACCAAACUGACCAUCAAUGCUGUCAACAUAUCUGGGGACGUAGUUAUGUCCUCCACAAUAAGAUAUCACGCUUCAACAUCUCCAAACUAUGCGAUAAAAUCUCAAUUUGACUGUAUACCACCACCUGCUGGAUGUUUUGUUGAACUCUUCUCAAAGUUUGCUAGCCCCCAUCCCUUCCUCCCCUCGACUACAGAUCACGUCACACAUGAUCGUGUAUUUUCAUUGGCAAGACAAAGUAGUGUUAAGCUAGCAUUGAAAUACAUUCAUAUGCUCGUCGCCCGAGUGUCGCCGAGUGGUCUUUCGGCCAAAGUAACUUUCCUAUAUUAUUUAGACAUGUAAACGUCCAUAUAUGUUCAUGAAAUUUUACACGUAGAUUGUUUGGUAUGCCUGAAAUAAUACUACUUACACUGCUGGCGAUAGCAAAAGAAAAUGCUGGCAAAAAGACCGGAAACUGAGUGUCCAAACCCCGUUCGGGUUUGGACAAUAGUAGUUUACAGCGGUCGGGAUUGGACACAGUGACGUUAGCUGCUAGCUAGCUCCUGCUAGCUAGCUAGCUCCUGCAAGGUGCAGUGGGACCCACGUGCAGCCCUGUUCCUGGCUUCAAGUCAGAACUUCAGCAGCUGGGCCUUUGUACAUUUUAGAUGUCGACACUUUAAUGCGAGCUGGAAUUUGAGAUUAUUCUUUGUGUCUAUUUUUACAUAUUACUUGAUAAAUGGAGUGUUUUUGCGGUCGUGGUCCGUAACGUUUACGUGCGUAGACUUGAUAGCUUAGCCUGACUUCCAGACCACAGAGUCAGCAGUCAGGAGUUUUGGUUGGGUUUCUGGUCAGGAACAUGGAUUGAGAGGAACAUUUGACUAAGUGCCAUGGUACACGAGGUCCUGAUGCAGUUUUGGAAUAAACACAGGCAGCAGAGUUUCUCCACUGUGCUGACGUCAUUUCCUUCCAGAGCAAUUUUGACUCCCCGAGUCCAGUUUUAAUUUCCUGUCAUUUGAACCGGCUUGAAUUCCCCUGGGGGCAGAUUUCACUUGGCUUUCUGCAAAGCAAGCUCUUCUCUUUGCACUUAUUACGUCAUAUAUAUAUACUCUUAUGCUGACUCUGAAGUUUAUUUACCUGCAGCAAUUGUCUUUAAAUUGCUUUCUGUGCUUUGUAAUAUACUUGUCAUUUUUAUUUGGUCAGUGUAUUCCUUUUUGAUCUCCAUGGAUCAGUUUGAAACCCACAGUUCACCCAGCCUUUCUGCCAGUAGGAUGGAAGGUCAUUUCCAAAUAAGUGUUCUUUGUUUAAAAAUCCAAAAUGGCGGCUGAAUGUCAUUCACCUCUUCUGUUUUGGUUUUGAACAAAGGUGAGGGGAGGGGUUAGGGGAGGGCCCUGCUGUAAACUCACAGUAAGACAGCUGCCUGGACACAAUCCAGCUGGUCCUGAACAUCAUGGUACUUUCAGUAGAGUUUUCCUUUUGAAGUUGCCUUCAGUGCUAAAAUCAGGCUGUUUGGGCUCCAGGGAAGCUGCCCAAAGUCUUCCUGGUUGCUGCCGUCACCUGGUAACACGUCUCCAAGCGUCUCUAAACCAGCCUUGUAGCUGUGCUGGUCAUGGUCUCAUCCACCUGCCUGGUGUGCACAGUCAUGUCUAGUUUAACUCACUAAUCAGCCUCAAAACCAAGUAACCUUAAGUCCUGAUGAGCCUGUUUCCUUCCUGAUUAUAAACAGUGUAACUGAUGUUUGUAUGUUCUUUUCUUUUUCCCCUCAAGAAUAAAGUAAUUACUUUUGGGUA